rnacentral:rRNA from 1 species
AGUGGGGAAUAUUGCACAAUGGGCGCAAGCCUGAUGCAGCGACGCCGCGUGAAGGAUGAAGGUCUUCGGAUUGUAAACUUCUAUCAGCAGGGAAGAAUAAAUGACGGUACCUGACUAAGAAGCCCCGGCUAACUACGUGCCAGCAGCCGCGGUAAUACGUAGGGGGCGAGCGUUAUCCGGAAUUACUGGGUGUAAAGGGUGCGUAGGCGGCUAUGCAAGUCAGAUGUGAAAACUCAGGGCUCAACCUUGAGGCUGCAUCUGAAACUGCGUAGCUAGAGUGUGGGAGAGGAAAGUGGAAUUCCGAGUGUAGCGGUGAAAUGCGUAGAGAUUCGGAGGAACACCAGUAGCGAAGGCGGCUUUCUGGACCAUAACUGACGCUGAGGCACGAAAGCGUGGGGAGCAAA